rnacentral:tRNA from 1 species
GCCGAGGUGGUGGAACUGGCAGACACAAGGGACUUAAAAUCCCUUGCCCCUUUUGGGGCGUGCGGGUUCAAGUCCCGCCCUCGGCA